UACGGAGGGUGCGAGCGUUGUCCGGAAUUAUUGGGCGUAAAGAGCUCGUAGGCGGUUUGUCGCGUCGACUGUGAAAACUGGGGGCUUAACUCUCAGCUUGCAGUUGAUACGGGCAGACUUGAGUUCGGUAGGGGAGACUGGAAUUCCUGGUGUAGCGGUGGAAUGCGCAGAUAUCAGGAGGAACACCAAUAGCGAAGGCAGCUCGCUGGGACGUUACUGACACUAAGGCGCGAAAGCGUGGGGAGCGAACAGG
rnacentral:rRNA from 1 species